GUAACCAAUGAUUGUGACCUAGAAGGAGCAGGAAGAGAUGGUGAGCUGAGGGGUCACCUCAAGCCCCACCGGCCCAUGGUUCUUCUGAUGGAGACUCACAACAGGAGGUUUAACAGUGCCAUGGGGUCCCAAUUGCACUCACCAUCCACACCAUCAUGUAGGAGAAGGCUGCGAUCCACAGCGUGGAGGAAGCAAACGUCACCAUGAACCAUUUCUCCCAGCGCGGCUUGUUGCAGUUGGGUACAGUGAAGUAUAAGACGAAACUCAGGGGCCAGGUGAACGCCCAUUUCACUGUUUCCAGUUUACCCGCUGGAAAAAUGAAAACGGCCAAAAAGAAAUAAAAAGAAAAAAAAAAAUAAAGAACCCCAGUUA